ACGGAAGGCAGCAGUGAGGAAUAUUGGUCAAUGGACGGAAGUCUGAACCAGCCAAGUCGCGUGAAGGAUGAAGGUUCUAUGGAUUGUAAACUUCUUUUGCCCGAGGGUAAAACGCGGAACGUGUUCCGCUUUGUAAGUAUCGGGUGAAUAAGCAUCGGCUAACUCCGUGCCAGCAGCCGCGGUAAUACGGAGGAUGCGAGCGUUAUCCGGAUUUAUUGGGUUUAAAGGGUGCGUAGGCGGAAUGUUAAGUCAGUGGUUAAAUCGUGCGGCUCAACCGUACGUUGCCGUUGAAACUGGUGUUCUUGAGUGUAAACGAGGUAGGCGGAAUAUGACAUGUAGCGGUGAAAUGCUUAGAUAUGUCAUAGAACUCCGAUUGCGAAGGCAGCUUACCAGCAUACAACUGACGCUGAGGCACGAAAGCGUGGGUAUCAAACAGGAUUAGAUACCCUGGUA
rnacentral:rRNA from 1 species